AAACUGUGAAAAUAUUGGGGUCAUUGCUCAUUAAAAAAUCUCACACAGAAAAAAAAAAUCUAUUUUAAAAGAAAGUAUAAAUGUGUUUACAGGAUACCUUGUUGGAAUGCCUUUAAAAAAGAAAGGAUUCCCUUGGUUAGCUCAUCAGUCGUCCUGCAAAUGAAAGAGAAGUAUGGGAUCAAAAGGAAGUGUGCUGGACAAACAGACUCAGUUUCAGUUUAAGUUCAGUUAAAUAAAUUUUAUGUCGAGGCAGAUUAAAUUUGUCUUAACAUGAAAAACAUGUUGACUUUAUUAUUUCAGAGUGCAAAAUGUAGAAGAGAACCACUGGAUAUAACGGCAUAUAAUGAUUCUGCUUGUUCACAGGAGAUUGUGUUGGACCUAGAAGUAACGGGUUAGGAUGAGAAAAGUUUCCGGGAACACAUUAAUGCCAUCACCCUGGAGUUGCGUAAAAGCAACCCCAGUUAAUCUGAGGUCAAGAGCCGGAUGAAGCGCAUUCUUUUCCAAAGAGUACAGAUUAUGGAGAGGCCUGCAGCUGAAGUAAUGGAGCAGUUUCCUUUUCUUGGAGUGCCACAGCUUAUGCUGCAUGAAAUGACGAUUAGGUUUGGCACAGACUUGCCAAAGAACAUGGAAACAUCUCUAAAUGAAAUGGCCCCAAACAUCAUCAGGAUUGCAAAAGAAGUAUAAAUUGUAGUGCUAUUUAAUAGAUGUUUUAAUUGUUCAUGUAUUGGUUUUGUUUUUCCUCAUUUCAGAGAUACAUGUAAAAGUUAAGUACUGUAUAUGUACAUACGGUACAUAAACAAGCUUAUGUAUGUUUAUUAAAAAUUGAAAAUGCUUAAGUAAAAUAAUUAAAACUAAAUGAUUGAACAUAAUUAAACAUUUUAAAUGUAAAAUAAUUUAAAGUUUUGCUGUCUAAUAUAGAGUAUACAGAGGUGCAAUUUUAAAUAUGACACUAAUAUUUUUGUAUAAUGAAUUCAAUAAAUUUAAACUUUUUUAAUUUUCUGGAUUGGUUAUAUUUUCUUAUUCAAUAAUAAAUAACUCUUUCAAUAAUAAAGAAUCCUUAAAUGGUUCUAAAAAGAACCAUCUCACUUGGAUUCAAAGAACCAUUUGGGGUUCUUUUUAAUGAACCCAUUAAAAUGGUUCUAUAUAGAACCAUUUGGGGGUUCCAUAUAUGAAGCGAGUGAUAGAACCAUUUCUGGUUCUAAAUAGAACCUUUUGUUUUAAGAGUGCGUAAAAUGUUAUUGUUUGUCCUGAUCACUGAGUCUGAAGUUGUGAAUGUUAAGAGGAGCUGUGAUUGAGAAUAGAGACUGUGUGUGUGUGUGUGCUUUUCUUAAUGGUGUUUUCAGCUCAUGUACACCCAUAACCCACUCUGUUGCAUAGACUGUGAGUACAGAGGUGUUCUGUAGGUGUGUGUGUGUGUGUGUGUGUGUUGUACCUGUGCUAGAGGUCAGUUCUUCUAGGCAGAACAUGAGUUCAUGGGUCUGAUCCACUGAAAAGAUCACCUACACACACACACACAGGCCAGAUAUUACUAUAGUAUUCCAUCCAAACCUUACGUCAAAAAUGUGUGUGUGUGUGUGUGCUGUAUGUGCUUGUGCCAUGUAACAGUAUGUACAGUACGUGGUUUUAGUUUUGUGAUCUGUCCAGCUGCAUGCAGAAAUAAAGUGUUUAUUUCAAAGUGAA